AACAGAUUUUGAGAGGUUUUCUAAACUUUUCUUGAUUUAAUUAUCGUUUGUUA
rnacentral:tRNA from 1 species